AUUGAACGCUGGCGGCAGGCCUAACACAUGCAAGUCGAGCGGAUGAAGGGAGCUUGCUCCUGGAUUCAGCGGCGGACGGGUGAGUAAUGCCUAGGAAUCUGCCUGGUAGUGGGGGAUAACGUCCGGACACGGGCGCUAAUACCGCAUACGUCCUGAGGGAGAAAGUGGGGGAUCUUCGGACCUCACGCGAUCAGAUGAGCCUAGGGCGGAUUAGCUAGUUGGUGGGGUAAAGGCCUACCAAGGCGACGAUCCGUAACUGGUCUGAGAGGAUGAUCAGGCACACUGGAACUGAGACACGGUCCAGACUCCUACGGGAGGCAGCAGUGGGGAAUAUUGGACAAUGGGCGAAAGCCUGAUCCAGCCAUGCCGCGUGUGUGAAGAAGGUCUUCGGAUUGUAAAGCACUUUAAGUUGGGAAGAAGAGCAGUAAGUUAAUACCUUGCUGUUUUGACGGUACCAACAGAAUAAGCACCGGCUAACUUCGUG
rnacentral:rRNA from 1 species